rnacentral:miRNA from 9 species
UUGCAUAGUCACAAAAAUGAGC